rnacentral:rRNA from 1 species
ACCUGCGGAAGGAUCAGUA